GGGGGGGUGAAAUUGCUGGGUGAACCUAAAAUGCUCUAGUCAGAUUCAGUUCACUUGUAAGGAAUCGAGUGCAUUUUAGGCUGAACCCAAAACAUCAAUCAUGCCAAACAUCCAGACAUUUUUAUGGUCAUGUAGAUGCCAAGGUGGGGGACGCACAACCCUCCCUCCCCGAUUUGACCUAAAUCUAAAAUAAAUGCAACAUCCCGAGUUUUAGGCUGCACUGAGCGCGCUCAGUAGAAAGCCCGACGAGCGAGGCCGGUGUGACAUUCAAAAACGGCGUCGUUGGGUUUCCGCUUUGACGCGCCAGGCAGCAAGUGGUGAUCACGGUCAUUGAAUUUUUUUUACCAAAAAAAUAAUAAA